UUGAUAGUUUUGGAAACUGAAGAGCUCUAAUCAUCCACAGAACAGGUACAAUAUAGCCAAUGGCAGUAGAAAUGAUUUCAUAAUGUCGUGCAAAUGCACCUCAGAUAGGUUUCUUAGGAACAUCAUGGGAUAUACAGAUUUUAAGGCUCCUUCUUGUUCAGUCUUUGCUAAGA
rnacentral:sRNA from 1 species